AACGAACGCUGGCGGCAGGCUUAACACAUGCAAGUCGAGCGCCCCGCAAGGGGAGCGGCAGACGGGUGAGUAACGCGUGGGAAUCUACCCAUCACUACGGAACAACUCCGGGAAACUGGAGCUAAUACCGUAUACGUCCUUCGGGAGAAAGAUUUAUCGGUGAUGGAUGAGCCCGCGUUGGAUUAGCUAGUUGGUGGGGUAAUGGCCUACCAAGGCGACGAUCCAUAGCUGGUCUGAGAGGAUGAUCAGCCACACUGGGACUGAGACACGGCCCAGUCUCCUACGGGGGGCAGCAGUGGGGAAUAUUGGACAAUGGGCGAAAGCCUGAUCCAGCCAUGCCGCGUGAGUGAUGACGGCCCUAGGGUUGUAAAGCUCUUUCGCAGGUGAAGAUAAUGACGGUAACCUGAGAAGAAGCCCCGGCUAACUUCGUGCCAGCCGCAGCAGUAAGAC
rnacentral:rRNA from 1 species